UACGGAGGUUGCAAGCGUUGUUCGGAAUAACUGGGCGUAAAGGGAGCGCAGGCGGUCUCGUAAGUCUAAAGUGAAAUGCCAGGGCUCAACCUUGGACGUGCUUUGGAUACUGCAAGACUUGAGUACGUGAGAGGAGAGUGGAAUUCCAGGUGUAGCGGUGAAAUGCGUAGAUAUCUGGAGGAACACCGGUGGCGAAAGCGGCUCUCUGGCACGUUACUGACGCUGAGGCUCGAAAGCGUGGGGAGCGAACGGGAUUAGAAACCCUAGUAGUCC
rnacentral:rRNA from 1 species